UGUCUUCUCACGCCCUCUCGGCAACCCGUUAUCCUCUCUCGCGCCGUAGUUCCUCUCUCAUCUUCUUGUGGUCGGUUUAAGAUUUGGCUUCGACAUGGCGUCGAUCUCGGCAGCGUGGAUCCUCCCGAACCCUUGGAGUUCGCCCAUCCCGAGAGCCCCCGAUCGCCUUACGCAUCACUUCAAGGGGUGCGGGAAGUCGAGGAUUGGGGGAGGAUUCAUCGGGGAAGCAGAUGGGAUCCUCGACGCAGAGGUCUCCAGCUCUCUUGAAGCAAAUAGAUCAAUAGUUACAAAAGGAACUUUUGAAAGAAGAAAACUACUUUUGGUCUCCUCUAUUGGGUUCACCACUGGUGCUUUCCAAAAUGCUCUAGAUAAUGGAGUGGCAGUAGCAGCAGAAUUUGCUGAUAUGCCAGCACUCCGUGGAAAGGAUUAUGGAAAGACAAAAAUGCGCUAUCCAGAUUAUAAUGAGACACAAUCCGGUCUUCAAUACAAGGAUUUGCGAGUUGGUGAUGGUCCCACACCGAAAACUGGGGACACAGUGGUGGUUGACUGGGAUGGUUAUACGAUAGGAUACUAUGGUCGCAUCUUUGAAGCUCGAAAUAAGACAAAGGGUGGUUCAUUUGAGGGAGAUGAUAAAGAUUUUUUCAAGUUCAAGGUUGGUUCAAGACAGGUUAUACCAGCUUUUGAGGAAGCCAUUGUCGGCAUGGCAGAGGGAGGUAUCAGGAGCAAUGCAGGAUAAUAGUGCCUCCGGAUUUGGGAUAUCCAGAUAGUGACUUCAACAAACUUGGUCCCAGACCAACGACUUUUUCGGGCCAAAGAGCUCUUGAUUUUGUCCUGAGGAACCAGGGCUUGAUCGACAAAACUCUACUGUUCGAUAUAGAGCUUCUUAAAAUCGUCAGGAACUAAGAUUUAUCGGG